AGUUGGGAUCCUCGUUGACGGAUCCUGGAAGCUCAGCCUGUAAUCCCCCAUAUUUUCCUUAGCAAAUUAUAAUUAUAUUUUUUUUCAUAUAAAAAUACUUUGUAAUAAUUUUAUACUUUAUAAAUAUUUUCUUUUGGAAAGAUUUGACAAAUAAAACCAAAAAAAAUCUUUAAGCCAUAUUUUUUUUUAUUAAGUAAACUUACCUUAUUCCUCCCCAUUCUUUUUUUUUAUUAAGUAAACCCCUCCCAAAAACCCUCCUAAUUGCUUCUCCUUAUUACUCCCUUUCCCUCCUUCCCUACCCUCAUUCACGAAACACUCACACAAAAAAAAAAAGAGAGAACGCUGCCCAGUCACAGCCACCGAGCACCACCACCACCGUUGCCCAGCCUGCUGCCACCGCCUGCCCGCAGCCGCCCAGCACGACCGUGCCCAGCCGGAGAGGACUUCAUAGAAGGUGACUUCUAGCUUUAAGGUGGCCAAUCAAUUUGUUUACUCAAGAUUCAUCACAGGUUUUUGCAUAAACUGUCUUGCAUCAGGGUGAUGGGAUUUGAGUGGAGAGUUGGUUAAACAGUUAGCUAAUUUCAUAACACAGAUUGAAUUUUAUUUUGGUGUUGGUUCCAUUACUUCCUAUUUUUACUGGAUUUUGAAUAAGGGCCGUUAUGGUUCCAACUUGUAAGACUUUGAGUUUUGACUUCCAGUUUUGGAACUUACAUUCUUUUUAAAACUAAGUUAGUUUUCCGCUGCUGAUUUCUGAAACUAGCCUUAACGUUUGAACACGUGGAGGUAGCACUCCAUUAAUUCUCUUACAGGUCUUACAGGUUUCACAGGUUAUACAGGUCUUACUGGUUUUACAGGUUAUAUUCACAGGUUUUUACGGAUUUUCUUUUAAAGAGAAUUAUUGGGGUGUUACACAGCCUCCUGAGCAGGGGAAGACUCCUCGUCGUAGGAGCCUAGGAUGCUAUCUCUUGGGGUGGCGAAAAUGCCACCGGAUGGUUCUCUAGCCACCUCGUCCGGGGCUUGUCUCUCAGGCGAAAACUCGUUUGAGUCCCUGCCUCUGUAAUUGGGAUCCAUAGUUGUUCCCCUAAUUCUAGCCAUCGUGUCCUGCACAAACACAGAGUCGAUCGAUACAGGCGUUGAAAAGGGGAAAUUCCAAAUAUCAGAGGCGGCAG